rnacentral:misc_RNA from 1 species
CCACCAUGCCUCCCCCGAUCAGGUAUUAUCCAACUUUUGAAUUUCUUACAUAUUUAUAUGCUAAAUGACGGCCAUUGGAAUUUAAUUUAUUGCUUGCGUAGUUGAUUUCAGCUUUGGUUUUCGAUUUGAAGUCACAAUUUUUGUGACAUUUUAAUGACUAUGCUUCAUCUUUGAAGCUUGCAGUUGUUCUCACCUUUUAUCAGAAUAUAAGAAGAAGGAAAAAUUGCUCUCUUCUUAUCUCCCUUUAUAUACAUAUUAAAGAAAACAGAAAUUAGAAGAGAGAAA